AUUGAACGCUGGCGGCAGGCCUAACACAUGCAAGUCGAGCGGAUGAAGGGAGCUUGCUCCUGGAUUCAGCGGCGGACGGGUGAGUAAUGCCUAGGAAUCUGCCUGGUAGUGGGGGAUAACGUCCGGAAACGGGCGCUAGUACCGCAUACGUCCUGAGGGAGAAAGUGGGGGAUCUUCGGACCUCACGCUAUCAGAUGAGCCCAGGUCGGAUUAGCUAGUUGGUGGGGUAAAGGCCUACCAAGGCGACGAUCCGUAACUGGUCUGAGAGGAUGAUCAGUCACACUGGAACUGAGACACGGUCCAGACUCCUACGGGAGGCAGCAGUGGGGAAUAUUGGACAAUGGGCGAAAGCCUGAUCCAGCCAUGCCGCGUGUGUGAAGAAGGUCUUCGGAUUGUAAAGCACUUUAAGUUGGGAGGAAGGGCAGUAAGUUAAUACCUUGCUGUUUUGACGUUACCAACAGAAUAAGCACCGGCUAACUUCGUG
rnacentral:rRNA from 1 species